GAUGUUUUAAAUUUUCCGAAUUUUUUUGGCAGGUCGAUCUAUUCUUCUACAGGGAGCCUGAGGAAGCUAAGGAACCAGAAGAAGAGGAAACACCUGCUCUUCCAGAUUAUGCUGAUUAUUCUGCAGCUACAAUUGUCGGUGAUUGGUCUAGCAGCCAGAUACCUGAUGCUCAAUGGGCUCCCGAGAUGACUGGUACUUUGCCACCUGUUGCAAGUGGUUGGACUGGAGAAGCCGUUGCAGAGGUAGCUACUGAUGGAUGGGACUCAGCUGCUGCACCCUCGGUGGCAGCUCCUGGAGUUGACGUAAUUCCUCCUGUUGCUCCAACUGGAUGGGACUAAAUGAAAGAAGAAAAAAAAAAAAAAUUCUUCAACUACUGGUUCCUUGAACAAUUUUGAUUUUAUAUUGCCCUCUUAAUGAGCUUGGACAUUGUUAGACUUCUGUUAUAAAUGGUUUUGUUAAAAUCUGAGUUUUUCAUUUUUCCUCUUUUUGUAGCCAGAAGAAACCCUUUCGUGGUUUGGUGUUAUUCGAUUUUUAUUCAAUACAUGGUUAGUUGAAUUUUACGGUUUGA